rnacentral:rRNA from 1 species
CUACGGGACGCAGCAGUGGGGAAUAUUGGACAAUGGGGGAAACCCUGAUCCAGCAAUGCCGCGUGUGUGAAGAAGGCCUGCGGGUUGUAAAGCACUUUCGGUUGGGAGGACUGCUUCUAGCACUAAUAUUGUUGGAAGUUGACGUUACCUUCAGAAGAAGCACCGGCUAACUCCGUGCCAGCAGCCGCGCGUAAUACGGAGGGUGCAAGCGUUAAUCGGAAUUACUGGGCGUAAAGCGCGCGUAGGCGGCUAGAUCAGUCGGGUGUGAAAGCCCCGGGCUUAACCUGGGAACGGCAUCCGAUACUGUCUAGCUUGAGUACAGGAGAGGAGAGUGGAAUUCCACAUGUAGCGGUGAAAUGCGUAGAUAUGUGGAGGAACACCAAUGGCGAAGGCAGCUCUCUGGCCUGAUACUGACGCUGAGGUGCGAAAGCGUGGGGAGCAAACAGGAUUAGAUACCCCUGUAGUC